UAGAAUUUGGUUUAGAGGAGGGAAAGAAUACUCUCCUAUUUGAGAUUCUGGAAGGAAACAAAAACAAACCAUUCCUAACUGAUCAAAAGGGUUGGUUCUGUAUAAUCCUGAAACUCCUGGAUUACAGGAUAAGAAGAUGGUUGAAACUAUUCAAGCUGAAUACUCAUCUUUACUAAGGCGGCAUCUCUCCCAGUUUUCUGAACAGUCUGUUGAGCAGUCCAUGAGGGAUGUGCAUACAUGUAUUCGUGGAUUACCUAUAAUACAACAAUAUAUGGAAUCUGUUCAAAGGAGGUCGUCUUGAGUGAGGAAUCUGCCCUAACCGGCCAUUUUUAGUAGUGUAGUAGAGUAAUAACAAUACAGAUAGAACACUAAAUAUCGUCUGUUCAAGAUACAUGGGGUUUUUGUUAACAAUAACCAAAGGCAGAAGUACAAAGGAGUUACGCGCAUGCUCUUACUCUGUCUAGUAAUUCAACGCGGCAUAUGGUUAACUCCUUUGGUGCUGCCUUAUGGUUAUUGUGAACAAAAGCCUCCAAUUCUUAAUCUGAUGUUCUAUUUAUUUUAUCAUUAAUCUAUGUGAUAGGCAACUACUUGUUUUUUUGGAGCUUUUGGACUUACCAAUGGCACCACACAAAUUGUGUUAACUGUGUAUAUUCCAAAAUUUUUAAUUUAUAUUCUGUAAAACUUUGUGUUUAUUAACCUAUGUUGAUCAUACAAGAAAAACUAAACAAAAAAGUGCAUGGAAUGCAAAUGCAUGUUCAGCACACAACUUUGUAAUUUGUAAAUUUAAAGAACUUCUCAGAAAUCUGUGUAUAACCUUUAAAAGUCUAAAAUCCGAACCAGGUUUUGUUCCCAUGACUAGAUUAAUAAUAAUAAUAAAAUAAUAAAAUAAUAAAAUAAUAAAAUUCAGAUCAACAAAUCAUAAAAUAUUAAAACAG